CGAACGAGAGGAGAAGGAAGCUUGCUUCUUUCAAAAUCUAGUGGCAAACGGGUGAGUAACACGUAAACAACCUGCCUUCAGGAUGGGGACAACAGACGGAAACGACUGCUAAUACCGAAUACGUUCCUUAGGUCGCAUGACUUUAGGAAGAAAGGGUGGCCUCUACUUGUAAGCUAUCGCCUGAAGAGGGGUUUGCGUCUGAUUAGGUAGUUGGUGAGGUAACGGCCCACCAAGCCGACGAUCAGUAGCCGGUCUGAGAGGAUGAACGGCCACACUGGAACUGAGACACGGUCCAGACUCCUACGGGAGGCAGCCAGUGGGGAAUCUUCCGCAAUGGGCGAAAGCCUGACCCAGCAACGCCGCGUGAAGGAAGAAGGCCUUCGGGUUAGUAAACUUCUUUACCAGGGACGAAGGACGUGACGGUACCUGGAGAAAAAGCAACGGCUAACUACGUG
rnacentral:rRNA from 1 species